rnacentral:rRNA from 1 species
AUUGAACGCUGGCGGCAGGCCUAACACAUGCAAGUCGAGCGGUAGAGCGAAGCUUGCUUCUCUUGAGAGCGGCGGACGGGUGAGUAAUGCCUAGGAAUCUGCCUGGUAGUGGGGGAUAACGUUCGGAAACGGACGCUAAUACCGCAUACGUCCUACGGGAGAAAGCAGGGGACCUUCGGGCCUUGCGCUAUCAGAUGAGCCUAGGUCGGAUUAGCUAGUUGGUGGGGUAAUGGCUCACCAAGGCGACGAUCCGUAACUGGUCUGAGAGGAUGAUCAGUCACACUGGAACUGAGACACGGUCCAGACUCCUACGGGAGGCAGCAGUGGGGAAUAUUGGACAAUGGGCGAAAGCCUGAUCCAGCCAUGCCGCGUGUGUGAAGAAGGUCUUCGGAUUGUAAAGCACUUUAAGUUGGGAGGAAGGGCAGUAAAUUAAUACGUUGCUGUUUUGACGUUACCGACAGAAUAAGCACCGGCUAACUCUGUG